CGGGAGGCAGGCAGUACGGAUCUCGGCCAAUGAACGGAAGGUCUGACCGAGCACCGUCGCUGAGCGAUGGAUGGCAUCGGGUCGUAAGCUCUGUGUCCAGAGAAGAACAAGUACCGAGUACUGCCGGUACCUUGACGGUACCUGACCAGAAAGCCACGGCUAACUACGUGCCAGCAGCCGCGGUAAUACGUAGGUGGCAAGCGUUAUCGGGAAUUAUUGGGCGUAAAGCGCGCGCAGGCGGUUCUUUAAGUCUGAUGUGAAAGCCCACGGCUCAACCGUGGAGGGUCAUUGGAAACUGGGGAACUUGAGUGCAGGAGAGAAAAGUGGAAUUCCACGUGUAGCGGUGAAAUGCGUAGAGAUGUGGAGGAACACCAGUGGCGAAGGCGGCUUUUUGGCCUGUAACUGACGCUGAGGCGCGAAAGCGUGGGGAGCAAACAGGAUUAGAUACCCUGGUAGUCCACGCCGUAAACGAUGAGUGCUAGGUGUUGGGGGGUUCCACCCUCAGUGCUGACGUUAACACAUUAAGCACUCCGCCUGGGGAGUACGGCCGCAAGGCUGAAACUCAAAGGAAUUGACGGGGGCCCGCACAAGCAGUGGAGCAUGUGGUUUAAUUCGAAGCAACGCGAAGAACCUUACCAGGUCUUGACAUCCUCUGACCACUCUAGAGAUAGAGCUUUCCCCUUCGGGGGACAGAGUGACAGGUGGUGCAUGGUUGUCGUCAGCUCGUGUCGUGAGAUGUUGGGUUAAGUCCCGCAACGAGCGCAACCCUUGACCUUAGUUGCCAGCAUUCAGUUGGGCACUCUAAGGUGACUGCCGGUGACAAACCGGAGGAAGGUGGGGAUGACGUCAAAUCAUCAUGCCCCUUAUGACCUGGGCUACACACGUGCUACAAUGGGUGGUACAAAGGGUUGCAAAGCCGCGAGGCCGAGCCAAUCCCAAAAAGCCACUCUCAGUUCGGAUUGUAGGCUGCAACUCGCCUACAUGAAGCCGGAAUUGCUAGUAAUCGCGGAUCAGCAUGCCGCGGUGAAUACGUUCCCGGGCCUUGUACACACCGCCCGUCACACCACGAGAGUUUGUAACACCCGAAGCCGGUGGGGUAACCUUUGGAGCCAGCCGUCGACGGUGAUCG
rnacentral:rRNA from 1 species